GCUGUGUGAAUUAUGGGGGUGCUGGAAACAAGCUCAUCUUUGGGACCGGAACUGCACUUUCUGUCAAGCCAACUAUUCAGAACUCCUGA